AACGAACGCUGGCGGCAGGCUUAACACAUGCAAGUCGAGCGCAUCCUUCGGGGUGAGCGGCAGACGGGUGAGUAACGCGUGGGAAUCUACCUUUUGCUACGGAAUAGCUCCGGGAAACUGGAAUUAAUACCGUAUGUGCCCUUAGGGGGAAAGAUUUAUCGGCAAGAGAUGAGCCCGCGUUGGAUUAGCUAGUUGGUGGGGUAAAGGCCUACCAAGGCGACGAACCAUAGCUGGUCUGAGAGGAUGAUCAGCCACAUUGGGACUGAGACACGGCCCAAACUCCUACGGGAGGCAGCAGUGGGGAAUAUUGGACAAUGGGCGCAAGCCUGAUCCAGCCAUGCCGCGUGAGUGAUGAAGGCCUUAGGGUUGUAAAGCUCUUUCACCGGAGAAGAUAAUGACGGUAUCCGGAGAAGAAGCCCCGGCUAACUUCGUG
rnacentral:rRNA from 1 species